rnacentral:rRNA from 1 species
UACGAAGGGGGCUAGCGUUGCUCGGAAUUACUGGGCGUAAAGCGCACGUAGGCGGCUUUCUAAGUCGGGGGUGAAAUCCUGGAGCUCAACUCCAGAACUGCCUUCGAUACUGGAAAGCUCGAGUCCGGGAGAGGUGAGUGGAACUGCGAGUGUAGAGGUGAAAUUUGUAGAUAUUCGCAAGAACACCAGUGGCGAAGGCGGCUCACUGGCCCGGUACUGACGCUGAGGUGCGAAAGCGUGGGGAGCAAACAGG